rnacentral:lncRNA from 1 species
CUGGGUUGUCGUGUUUCUCUUUAACAACUAGCUCUUCAAAGGUCUUUUCAACCAUUGGUUCUUCAGGUUUCUCUUCAAGUGCUAGCUCUCCAAGUGUUUCCUCCCCUGCUAGCUCUUCAUGUGUUUCUUUAGCUGUUGGUUCUUCAAGUUUUUCUUCAACAGUUGGUUCUUGAGGUUUCUCCUCAGCUGGUUUUUCAUAUUUCUCCUUAAUUGCUAGUGUAUCAAGUUUCUCUUCAAUAACUGGUCCUUCAGGUUUUUCUACAACUGCUGGUUCUUCAGGGUCUUUCUCAACUUCUUGAAAGUGAGCAUCAUCAUCGUUAGUAUUGCAUGGAAUUUCACAGUCAGUUUUGUCCUUUGAGUCCGCAACUAGCAAAUUCUGCAAGAAGAAUUAAAAGUUUCACUUAGUCUUUUAGUAGAUAAAGCAGAUGUGAAUCAUUGCACAUACAUAAAUAAUAGGAUGGAUAAACUUAUGACAGUGCUUGACCCUCGCCUUAUCCAAAAGAGUUACCUUUUCAAGUUUCUCCUCUUCAACUGUUGGGUUUUCAGGUUUCUCCUCUUCAACUACUGGUUUGUCAGUUUUUUCUUCAAAUGCUAGUUCAUUAGGUGUUUCUUCCCGUUUUGAUUCCUUGAGUGUUUCUUCAGUUUUUGGUUUUUCAGGUUUCUCUUCAACCAUUGGUUCUUCAAGUUUCUCCUCCACAGUUGUUUUUUCAUGUUUCUCUUCAACUGCCAGAUCUUCAAGUUCUCUCUCAACUGUUGGUUCUUCAGGCUUCUCCAUAACCGCCAAUACUUCAGGCUUCUCUUCAAUUGUUGUUUCUUCAUGUUCUUUUUCAACUACUGGUUCUUGAGAUUUUUCCUUGACUGAUUCAUAGUCAGCAAUAUCAUUGGUGGUAUUGCAUGACAUUACAUAAUCUAUCUUGUCCUUUGAGUCUACAAUUGGAAAAUGCUGCAAGAAAAUUUAAAAGUUUUACUUAGUCUUUCAACAGAUAAACAUAUGUAAAUCCGUUGCACAUAUAAAGCUAAUAUGAUGGAUAAAUUUUGUGACAAUGUUUAAUUCUGACCUUCUCUAGAAGAGCUCCGGUUUCAGGUUUCUCCACUUCAACAACUAGUUCUUUAGGUGUCUUUUCAACCGUUGCUUCUUCAGGUUUCUCUUCAAGUGCUAGUUCUUCAGCUGUUUCCUCCCCCUCUAACUCUUCAGGUGUUUUUUUAGCUGUUCGUUCUUCAGAUUUCUCUUCAGCCGCAGGUUCUUGAGGUUUCUCUUCAAAUGGUAAUUCAAAUUUCUCCUCAACCGAUGGUUCUUCAAAUUUCUCUUGAAUAACUGGUUCUUCAGGUUUUUCUUCAACUGCUGAUUCUUCAAGAUUUUCUUCAACAUUUAAAGAUUGAGCAACAUCAUUACUGGUAUUGCAUGGAAUUUCACUGCCAUUUUUGCUGUUCAAGUCUACAACUAGCAUAUUCUGCAAAAGAGUUUAAUGUUUCACUUAGUCUUUCAAUAAAGAAGCAGACGUGAAUCAUUUCACAUACAUAACUAAUAAUAUGGAUAGCUAAUAAUAUGGAUUAACUUUUAUGACAGAUUUUCCACAAGAGCUACCUUUUCAGGUUUCUCCUCUUCAAGUGAUGGUUUCUCUUCAAAUGAUAGUUCAUUAGGCGUUUCUUCCUGUGUUGGUUUUUCAUGUGCUUCUUCAGUUACUGGUUUUUCAGGUUUCUCCUUAGUUGUUGGUUCUUCGCUUGUCUCCUCAGCUGAUUGUUCUUCAAGCUUCUCUCCUGUUGUUGAUUUUUCUGGUUUCUCUUCAAUUAUCGGUGGUUCAGGUUUUUUCUCAACCGGUGAUUCUUCUGGUUUCUCCAAAACCAUUGAUUCUUCAUGUUUUUUUUCAACUACUGACUCUUCAGUGUUUUCCUCAACUGAUGCAUAGUCAGCAAUAUCGUUGUUGGUAUUGCUUGGAAUUGCAUUGUCUAUCUUGUCCUUUGAGUUUACUUUUGGCAUAUUCUGCAAUGAAGUUUCACGUAGUCUUUCAAUAGAUAAACAAAUGUAAAUUUGUUGCACAUAUAAAAGCUAAUAUGAUGGAUAAAAUUUGUGCCAGUGUUUAAUCCUCACCUUCUCCUGAAGAGCUUCCGCUUCAAGUUCCUCCUCUUCAAUUGCAGGUUUUUCAUCUUUCUCUCCAACAACUAGUUCUUCAGGUUUCUCUUCAAGUGCCAGUUCUUCAGGUGUUUCCUCCUUUGCCAGCUCUUCAGGUGUUUCCUCCUUUGCCAGCUCUUCAGGUGUUUCUUUAGCUGCCGGUUCUUCAGGUUUCUCUUCAACCUCCGGUUCUUGUGGUAUUUCCUCUACUUGUACUUCAGAUUUCUCCUCAAUUGUUGGUUCUUCAGGUUUCUCUCUAACCGCUGCUGCAUUAGGUUUCUCUUCAUUGGCUGGUUCUUCAGGUUUUUCUUCAACUACCGAUUCUUCAGGAUUUUCCUCAAUGUUUGGAAAGGGAGCGACAUCAUUAUUGGUAUUGCAUGGAAUUUCACUGCCAGUUUUGUCAUUCAAGUCCACAACUAGUAUAUUCUGCAAAAGAGUUUAAUGUUUCACUUAGUCUUUCAAUAAAGAAGCAGAUGCGAAUCAUUACAUAUACAUAACUAAUAACAUGGAUAAACUUUAUGACAGUAGUUGACCCUUACCUUUUCCACAAGAGUUACUUU